rnacentral:rRNA from 1 species
GGAAGGAUCAUUAUUGAAUAAACUUGAACAGGUUGUUGCUGGCCCUUCUAGGGUACUGUGCACGCUUGUCAUCUUUACUUCUCCAACUGUGCACACACUGUAGAUCCUGGAGUUUUUGAUUGUUUCGAUUGAGGACUGCUGUGCCCUAGGCCAGCUUUGCCUUGCAUCUCCAGGUCUAUGUUUUAUCACAAACCUCUGAAUGUGUUUAGAAUGUCAAAUAUAAAAAGUUAAAAUAUACAACUUUCAGCAACGGAUCUCUUGGCUCUCGCAUCGAUGAAGAACGCAGCGAAAUGCGAUAAGUAAUGUGAAUUGCAGAAUUCAGUGAAUCAUCGAAUCUUUGAACGCAUCUUGCGCUCCUUGGUAUUCCGAGGAGCAUGCCUGUUUGAGUGUCAUUAAGUUCUCAACCACACUGGUUUCAUAUCAGGUGUGGCUUGGAUAUUGGGGGUUACCUUUUGCAGGCUUCAGAAAUGAAGUCGGCUCCCCUGAAAUGUAUUAGUGGUAUCUGAGCAGAAUCUACUACAGGUGUGAUAAUUCGUCUAUGCCUUGGUGGUCUGCAAAAAAACCAGAUUACACUGCUUAUAACAAAAACACUCUUUGACAAAUUUGACCUCAAAUCAGGUAGGACUACCCGCUGAACUUAAGCAUAUCAAUAAGCGGAGGAAAAGAAACUAACAAGGAUUCCCCUAGUAACUGCGAGUGAAGCGGGAAAAGCUCAAAUUUGAAAUCUGGCAGUCCUUGACUGUCCGAGUUGUAAUCUAGAGAAGUGUUACCUGUGCUGGACCGUGUACAAGUAUCCUGGAAUGGAGCAUCAUAGAGGGUGAGAAUCCCGUCUUUGACACGGACUACCAGUACAUUAUGGUGCGCUCUCAAAGAGUCGAGUUGUUUGGGAAUGCAGCUCAAAAUGGGUGGUAAAUGCCAUCUAAAGCUAAAUAUUGGCGAGAGACCGAU